rnacentral:rRNA from 1 species
CCCUUAGAUGUCCUGGGCCGCACGCGUGCUACACUGACGCAUACAGCGAGUACUCCCGGCUCCGCAAUGGCAGCUGGUAAUCAUCAAUAUGCGUCGUGAUGGGGAUAGAUCUCUGGAAUUUUUGAUCCUGAACGAGGAAUGCCUAGUAAGCGCAGGUCAUCAGCCUGCGUUGAUUAAGUCCCUGCCCUUUGUACACACCGCCCGUCGCUGCUACCGAUUGAAUGGCUUAGUGAGGCCUCAGGAUCCGCGCUUAAUGUGUGGAGAAUUUGGACAAACUACGUCAUUUAGAGGAAGUAAAAGUCGUAACA